AGCAUCUGGUUUGCUGUCGGCAUCUUCCCAGGGGGCAUGACUGCGCUUUAUUGUGUGGCAUGUUGCCUAGGGCAUUUACUUUGAGGAAAUUAGAGUGUUUCAAGCAGGCACAUGCCAUGAAUAUGUUAGCAUGGAAUAAUGGGAAUGGCUUCUGCUUUAUUUUUGUGGGUUUCUAAAGCUGAAGUGAUGUUUAAGAGGGACAGUUGGGGGCAUCGGUAUUUAACUGUCAGAGGUGAAAUUCUUGGAUUU
rnacentral:rRNA from 1 species